rnacentral:rRNA from 1 species
UGAAACACGGACCAAGGAGUCUAACAUGUUCGCAAGUCAUUGGGUUGUAAAACCCAAAGGCAUAAUGAAAGUGAAGAUCAGUUCUGCUGGUCGAGGUGGGAUCUCUCUUCAAGGGAGCGCACCACCGUCCCAUCGCAUUUGCUCGUCAAAGCGGUGGAGAAAGAGCGUACAUGUUGGGACCCGAAAGAUGGUGAACUAUGCCUGAGCAGGAUGAAGCCAGAGGAAACUCUGGUGGAGGUCCGUAGCGGUUCUGACGUGCAAAUCGAUCGUCAGACUUGGGUAUAGGGGCGAAAGACUAAUCGAACCAUCUAGUAGCUGGUUCCCUCCGAAGUUUCCCUCAGGAUAGCUGGCACUUAAACGCAGUUUUACCCGGUAAAGCGAAUGAUUAGAGGCCUUGGGGACGAAACGACCUCAACCUAUUCUCAAACUUUAAAUGGGUAAGAAGUCUCGCUUGCCUGACCGAAGCUCAGACAUUGAAUGCGAGUGCCAAGUGGGCCAUUUUUGGUAAGCA